rnacentral:rRNA from 1 species
GAUGAACGCUGGCGGCGUGCCUAACACAUGCAAGUCGAGCGAUUCUCUUCGGAGAAGAGCAGCGGACGGGUGAGUAACGCGUGGGUAACCUGCCUCAUACACAUGGAUAACAUACCGAAAGGUAUGCUAAUACAGGAUGAUAUAAGAGAUUCGCAUGGAUUUUUUAUCAAAGCUCCGGCGGUAUGAGAUGGACCCGCGUCUGAUUAGCUAGUUGGUAAGGUAAUGGCUUACCAAGGCGACGAUCAGUAGCCGACCUGAGAGGGUGAUCGGCCACAUUGGAACUGAGACACUUGUCCAAACUCCUACGGGAGGCAGCAGUGGGGAAUAUUGCACAAUGGGCGAAAGCCUGAUGCAGCAACGCCGCGUGAGUGAUGAAGGCCUUCGGGUCGUAAAACUCUGUCCUCAAGGUAAGAUAAUGACGGUACUUGAGGAGGAAGCCCCGGCUAACUACGUGCCAGCAGCCGCGGUAAUACGUAGGGGGCUAGCGUUAUCCGGAUUUACUGGGCGUAAAGGGUGCGUAGGUGGUUUCUUAAGUCAGGAGUGAAAGGCUACCGCUCAACCGUAGUAAGCUNUUGAAACUGGGAAACUUGAUUGCAGGAGAGGAAAGUGGAAUUCCUAGUGUUGCGGUGAAAUGCGUAAAUUUUAGGAGGAACACCAGUAGCGAAAGCGGCUUUCUGGAU